GACGGACGCUGGCGGCGUGCUUAACACAUGCAAGUCGAACGGAAAGGCCCUGCUUUUGUGGGGUGCUCGAGUGGCGAACGGGUGAGUAACACGUGAGUAACCUGCCCUUGACUUUGGGAUAACUUCAGGAAACUGGGGCUAAUACCGGAUAGGAGCUCCUGCUGCAUGGUGGGGGUUGGAAAGUUUCGGCGGUUGGGGAUGGACUCGCGGCUUAUCAGCUUGUUGGUGGGGUUGUGGCUUACCAAGGCUUUGACGGGUAGCCGGCCUGAGAGGGUGACCGGCCACAUUGGGACUGAGAUACGGCCCAGACUCCUACGGGAGGCAGCAGUGGGGAAUAUUGCACAAUGGGCGGAAGCCUGAUGCAGCAACGCCGCGUGCGGGAUGACGGCCUUCGGGUUGUAAACCGCUUUCGCCUGUGACGAAGCGUGAGUGACGGUAAUGGGUAAAGAAGCACCGGCUAACUACGUG
rnacentral:rRNA from 1 species